rnacentral:lncRNA from 1 species
ACCCUGCUCCAGGCAGCGUGGUCUGUAUGGCUCCGCCCUGGGCAGGAGGAGAAAGAAGAGGGCCAGGCACCACGUGCCUGCACUCUCCCUGGAUGCUGGAGGCUGCUCCGCCGUGGGCAGGAGGAGAAGGAAGAGAACUGGGUGCCGCCUGCCUGCACUCUCUCCGGAUGCUGGAGGCUGGAGGCAGUGACGCAGCAACAGCGCGAGGCGACUUUGGAGCGGCCUCAUAUAGCGACCUCGCCUUCCGCUGCGCGUCCUCCCAGAGCCCAAGAAGCCCGGAACCUGUGGCAUCCAUCUCUGAAAGGAGAAGACGGCAACCCAGCCGAGGCACUACUGGGUUGGGGUCUCCACGACCGAGCUGGUCUCAUCAAGUGGCGUCCAACAAGGGGCUCAAACCCGGGUUGAGGGGUUGCUGGAGCGACGGAGAACGUGGAACUACACUGGAGGACACCAGAGUACUCUUAAGCAAUCCCUUGGCCAAAACCAGCAACUGAUUUGGAUACCAUCAAGACACCUGAAAUCUUGUCAUGAGCCAGAUACUGAGGAAGAGAUUUUGGGAAGAACCCAAGGACCCCCCAGUUGCAGCCAUGUCAAGACUGACAAUAAGGAAGACAUCAGUCCCAGCAAGCAACAUUCAUCGGGCACAGCCACCCAUGUGGGGCCAGAUCAAGAAGUUGACACAGAUGGCGGAAGAAAAUCUGAAGAAAGCGGAUGACCAGCUACAAUGAGUAAUCUAAUGUCUGCAGAUGUGGAUCCCGAAUCCUGCGAGAAGUAGCCCACCAUGACGAAGCUGCCUUUGCUUUUAUCGCUUUGCAAAAACAGAAAAGGGGACAUGCUGGGAACAGGCCCUAAGCCUGUCAUAAACAGGCCUUAAACUGACCAUGAACAGGAUUUCUGCACGAAUGUGACGUGCUCCUGAUGGCUAUGACGCCCACUGCUAGAAGUUGUUAGUUUACUGGAGCAGGGUAGGGAACACCUGGCCCACCCGGAGCGGAAAACUGCUCAAACCACAAACAACAGCAUGAGUGGCCUGAGCCUUAACAACAUGUUUUUGCUGCAGAUAAUCGGCCAGAGACUGUUUCUCUACUCCUCUCUAAGUAUGCUUUGUUUUUCGUAAGGAAUGCUUUUAGCUAAUCUGUAACCUAUAGAAACAAUGCUUAUCACUGGCUUGCUGUCAAUAAACAUGUGGGUCAAACUCUGUUUGUGGCUCUCAGCUCUCAAGGCUGUUUUCCCCCUGAUUCCCACUUUGCACUUUAUUUCUGUGUGUUUGUCUUCAUUCCUCUAGCACCACUGGGUUGGGGUCUCCUUGACCAAGCUGGU